UGGGGAAUAUUGGACAAUGGGGGGAACCCUGAUCCAGCCAUGCCGCGUGUGUGAAGAAGGCCUUAUGGUUGUAAAGCACUUUAAGCGAGGAGGAGGGUACUGGUAUUAAUACUACCAGCUACUGGACGUUACUCGCAGAAUAAGCACCGGCUAACUCUGUGCCAGCAGCCGCGGUAAUACAGAGGGUGCGAGCGUUAAUCGGAUUUACUGGGCGUAAAGCGUGCGUAGGCGGCUAAUUGAGUCGGAUGUGAAAUCCCCGAGCUUAACUUGGGAAUUGCAUUCGAUACUGGUUAGCUAGAGUGUGGGAGAGGAUGGUAGAAUUCCAGGUGUAGCGGUGAAAUGCGUAGAGAUCUGGAGGAAUACCGAUGGCGAAGGCAGCCAUCUGGCCUAACACUGACGCUGAGGUACGAAAGCAUGGAGAGCAAACAGG
rnacentral:rRNA from 1 species